UACUGAGAGGAGAGGGACCCAUGCUUCGGUAUGGGAGCGUACACAGGUGGCUGCAUGGCUGUCGUCAGCUCGUGUCGUGAGAUGUUGGGUUAAGUCCGCAACGAGCGCAACCCCUGCAUCCAGCUGCCAUCGGGCGAGCCGGGCACUCUGGAGGGACUGCCGGCGACAAGCCGGAGGAAGGUGGGAUGACGUCAAGUCAUCAUGGCCCUUAUGUCCAGGGCGAUACACGUGCUACAAUGGCCGGCACAGCGGGAAGCGGAGGGGCGACCCUGAGCGGAUCCCUUGAAAGCCGGUCCCAGUUCGGAUUGCAGUCUGCAACUCGACUGCAUGAAGUUGGAAUCGCCAGUAAUCGCGGAUCAGCCAAGCCGCGGUGAAUGCGUUCCCGGGCCUU
rnacentral:rRNA from 1 species